GACGAACGCUGGCGGCGUGCCUAAUACAUGCAAGUUGAGCGCUGAAGGUUGGUACUUGUACCAACUGGAUGAGCAGCGAACGGGUGAGUAACGCGUGGGGAAUCUGCCUUUGAGCGGGGGACAACAUUUGGAAACGAAUGCUAAUACCGCAUAAAAACUUUAAACACAAGUUUUAAGUUUGAAAGAUGCAAUCGCAUCACUCAAAGAUGAUCCCGCGUUGUAUUAGCUAGUUGGUGAGGUAAAGGCUCACCAAGGCGAUGAUACAUAGCCGACCUGAGAGGGUGAUCGGCCACAUUGGGACUGAGACACGGCCCAAACUCCUACGGGAGGCAGCAGUAGGGAAUCUUCGGCAAUGGACGAAAGUCUGACCGAGCAACGCCGCGUGAGUGAAGAAAGGUUUUCGGAUCGUAAAAACUCUGUUGGU
rnacentral:rRNA from 1 species